CACGCCUAAACACUCCUCUCAGACCAUCCCUCUUACAUCUCUCUACACCCCACCAUCCUCCACCUUAUUUUGCCGUCGGAAAUCGUCUCACGACGACAAAACACCUCCAUAUAUCCCCAAAUUAUCACCCUUCAAUCCCCAACACCCCCUAAAUCCAAAUCUACCUUCAAUUUUCCCAAAAUCCCCACCGAACUCAAUGAAUUAUAGAUAUGGAAAUCUCGGAAAAAUUAAAAUUUUUGCUCUUUCGUUUGCUUGAUCAUUUCGGCCAGUAUACGUUCAAGACUUCCAUCAAUAGAGAUUUGAUCCGUUUAUCGAUGGUCGAAUCUAGGUCAAAUUGCUGCUGACCGGCCAAUUUCUCCCGGAACCCCUUUCUGCCGACUCCUUUGAGCUCAAUAGUUACUGGUAACUAGAAAUUAGGUUCCUAGAUGUAAGGUGACCUCCACAGGAGUGCAAUGGAGCUGGCCUUGGGCAUUAUUCUCGAAUUAUUACAUGUUUCUAUGUUUAAACCAUUAGCACAAAUAGUCAUUCGUGUAAUAGGGUGAAUCUACGUGUUUGUUUAAAUUUAGCAAUCGCAAGUGUAUUAUGAUUCAGUUUUAAAUAUGAAGGAUGGAAAGGUUUGAAGUGAGGAAAUUUCGGCUCUGUAAUUUUGAUUAGCUAAACUAAUGAGCUACUGUUUCUAAAACUCAAUUGUUGAAGAUGGCUUUUAUUGUGAAUUCAAAUUACGACCUCUGAUGUAAUGAACUGCUACUGUACUCUGAACUUCGAUGAUGAAAUGCUGAUAUUUAGGAAAAGUUUUUCUUAUA